ensembl:snRNA U6 U6 spliceosomal RNA
GUGCUUGCUUUGGCAGUACAUAUGCUAAAAUUGGAACGACACAGAGAAAAUUAGCAUGGCCCCUGUGCAAGGAUGACACACAAAUUCAUGAAGUGUUCUAUAUCAAA